rnacentral:rRNA from 1 species
GGAUUUAAUUCGAAGCAACGCGAAGAACCUUACCAAAUCUUGACAUCCUUUGACAACUCUAGAGAUAGAGCUUUCCCCUUCGGGGGACAAAGUGACAGGUGGUGCAUGGUUGUCGUCAGCUCGUGUCGUGAGAUGUUGGGUUAAGUCCCGCAACGAGCGCAACCCUUAAGCUUAGUUGCCAUCAUUAAGUUGGGCACUCUAAGUUGACUGCCGGUGACAAACCGGA